rnacentral:rRNA from 1 species
GAUGAACGCUGGCGGCGUGCCUAAUACAUGCAAGUCGAGCGAACGGACGAGAAGCUUGCUUCUCUGAUGUUAGCGGCGGACGGGUGAGUAACACGUGGAUAACCUACCUAUAAGACUGGGAUAACUUCGGGAAACCGGAGCUAAUACCGGAUAAUAUUUUGAACCGCAUGGUUCAAAAGUGAAAGACGGUCUUGCUGUCACUUAUAGAUGGAUCCGCGCUGCAUUAGCUAGUUGGUAAGGUAACGGCUUACCAAGGCAACGAUGCAUAGCCGACCUGAGAGGGUGAUCGGCCACACUGGAAAUGAGACACGGUCCAGACGCCUGCGGGAGGCAGCAGUAGGGAAUCUUCCGCAAUGGGCGAAAGCCUGACGGAGCAACGCCGAGUGAGUGAUGAAGGUCUUCGGAUCGUAAAACUCUGUUAUUAGGGAAGAACAUAUGUGUAAGUAACUGUGCACAUCUUGACGGUACCUAAUCAGAAAGCCACGGCUAACUACGUG